GCAGUCCACAACUAUGUCCUUGGCGAUCUCAGCUGACUCACUUGGUCCUUCCAAGAUUACUUCAUCGUGAAUCUGUUAACACAAGAGUAGCCCAAAACAAUCAUUUAUAGAUAUGCAUAGCGCACAUGGCGACAUCAGCCGCACUUCCCUGUAGUAAUAGUAGUAACCGGGUAAACAGUCGAGAAACUACAGGACAGUUAAAGAUCUGAUGAUAGGGCAAACAAACCUGAACAGGAGAGUUGAUUGCUGCUCGUUUGAUAUGGUUCUUUUGGCCACAUGAACGGUAUGCAGAGAACUUACGAGCCCUUCCCAACAAAAAACCUGGAAAGUGGAAAUGGGCUUUUGUGAGCUUAUUAUCAGAAAUCAAGCAUAUUCAUAUCAAUUUUCAAGAGCUUAGCUAUUAGUACCUUCCAGUCUUUAGCAAGCCCAAUAGCAGUCUUCCCAUACGCAAUUGAAAAGUUGAGCAUCUUAGCUUUUCUUCUCUCAGAAGCAAAGGCGUCCUGAGUAAGAAAGAAAACAUUUUGCUACCGGUUCAAAAAA